rnacentral:rRNA from 2 species
ACGGGGUGCAGCAGGCGCGAAACCUUUGCAAUGUGCGCAAGCACGACAAGGUUAAUCCGAGUGUUUCCUGCUAAAGGAAUCUUUUGUUAGUCGUAAAACCACUGAUGAAUAAGGGGUGGGCAAGUUCUGGUGUCAGCCGCCGCGGUAAAACCAGCACCUCAAGUGGUCAGGAGGAUUAUUGGGCCUAAAGCAUCCGUAGCUGGCUCUGCAAGUUUUCGGUUAAAUCCAUUUGCUUAACAAAUGGGCUGCCGAAAAUACUACAUAGCUAGGGAGUGGGAGAGGUAGACGGUAUUCGGUAGGAAGGGGUAAAAUCCUUUGAUCUAUUGAGGACCACCUAUGGCGAAGGCAGUCUACCAGAACACGUUCGACGGUGAGGGAUGAAAGCUGGGGGAGCAAACCGGAUUAGAUACCCGGGUAGUCCCAGCUGUAAACGAUGCAGACUCGGUGAUGCACUGGCCUGUGGCCAGUGCAGUGCCGCAGGGAAGCCGUUAAGUUUGCCGCCUGGGAAGUACGUACGCAAGUAUGAAACUUAAAGGAAUUGGCGGGGGAGCAC